rnacentral:rRNA from 1 species
UACAGAGGUGGCAAGCGUUGUUCGGAAUUACUGGGCGUAAAGGGCGCGUAGGCGGCCUCCUAAGUCGGACGUGAAAGCCCCAGGCUUAACCUGGGAACUGCGUCCGAUACUGGGAGGCUUGGAUUCGGGAGAGGGAUGUGGAAUUCCAGGUGUAGCGGUGGAAAUGCGUAGAUAUCUGGAGGAACACCGGUGGCGAAAGCGGCUCACUGGACCGUUACUGACGCUGAGGUGCGAAAGCUAGGGGAGCAAACGGG